rnacentral:rRNA from 2 species
GAGUAACACGUGGGAAACCUGCCCAGAAGCGGGGGAUAACACCUGGAAACAGAUGCUAAUACCGCAUAACAACUUGGACCGCAUGGUCCGAGUUUGAAAGAUGGCUUCGGCUAUCACUUUUGGAUGGUCCCGCGGCGUAUUAGCUAGAUGGUGGGGUAACGGCUCACCAUGGCAAUGAUACGUAGCCGACCUGAGAGGGUAAUCGGCCACAUUGGGACUGAGACACGGCCCAAACUCCUACGGGAGGCAGCAGUAGGGAAUCUUCCACAAUGGACGAAAGUCUGAUGGAGCAACGCCGCGUGAGUGAAGAAGGGUUUCGGCUCGUAAAACUCUGUUGUUAAAGAAGAACAUAUCUGAGAGUAACUGUUCAGGUAUUGACGGUAUUUAACCAGAAAGCCACGGCUAACUACGUGCCAGCAGCCGCGGUAAUACGUAGGUGGCAAGCGUUGUCCGGAUUUAUUGGGCGUAAAGCGAGCGCAGGCGGUUUUUUAAGUCUGAUGUGAAAGCCUUCGGCUCAACCGAAGAAGUGCAUCGGAAACUGGGAAACUUGAGUGCAGAAGAGGACAGUGGAACUCCAUGUGUAGCGGUGAAAUGCGUAGAUAUAUGGAAGAACACCAGUGGCGAAGGCGGCUGUCUGGUCUGUAACUGACGCUGAGGCUCGAAAGUAUGGGUAGCAAACAGGAUUAGAUACCCUGGUAGUCCAUACCGUAAACGAUGAAUGCUAAGUGUUGGAGGGUUUCCGCCCUUCAGUGCUGCAGCUAACGCAUUAAGCAUUUCCGCCUGGGGAGUACGGCCGCAAGGCUGAAACUCAAAGGAAUUGACGGGGGCCCGCACAAGCGGUGGAGCAUGU